CCAGAAACUACUAUCUAUAGUAUAGAAUCUAUACACACAUAUCUACGUAAAAUUUUUACACCUUUAAAAUAUUUGACUUUACAUGUAUUAGGUCCCUUGACUUUUUUUGUUUACUGCCCUCGAAGUCAUUAAUUAUCCUCUGAUCAUUACGCUCAUAUAAUGAUUAUAACAAUAAAUACUCGCGCGAGCGUAAAUUUGCGUAAUAAUAUCUGAGUAUUUCACGUUUUUAAUCUGCGAUCACAGAUGUAUAUUUAUAAUCUUCUGCAAGUUGGAGUGUCUAUCCGUAUUGGAUUUUUGAAAUCAUAGCUCAUA